CGCAGUCCUGCAAAGGGCGAGCAGGGAUGAACAGAGACCCCCCCUCCCCCCCAAAGGUCGGGCGCUAAAUUUACCCCGGGCCCCGGCUCCGGUUACUCCGCGGCGCGGCAGGAGAAGGUCACAUUCCCCGGGAGGACACGCGAUACCACUGCGCCCUUCCCGGGGCGGAGGCAGGAGCCCGGCAUGCAGCGGCGCUUCCCGCUCGGGUGCACAGGAAGGCACAGGACACAACACCAGGUUGCAGAGAUCUAGCUGAAGAGGGAAUCAUUCAGAAGAUGGGGCACUACUAUAGGGUAUGCAGGCGAGAGUCAGUUUGGCCAGGGCCUGUUUACUGAGUAAACAGAAGAUCCUAAAUGG